UAAUCCGGGUUGCGGACAGUGUCUGGUGGGUAGUUUGACUGGGGCGGUCUCCUCCUAAAGAGUAACGGAGGAGCACGAAGGUUGGCUAAUCCUGGUCGGACAUCAGGAGGUUAGUGCAAUGGCAUAAGCCAGCUUGACUGCGAGCGUGACGGCGCGAGCAGGUGCGAAAGCAGGUCAUAGUGAUCCGGUGGUUCUGAAUGGAAGGGCCAUCGCUCAACGGAUAAAAGGUACUCCGGGGAUAACAGGCUGAUACCGCCCAAGAGUUCAUAUCGACGGCGGUGUUUGGCACCUCGAUGUCGGCUCAUCACAUCCUGGGGCUGAAGUAGGUCCCAAGGGUAUGGCUGUUCGCCAUUUAAAGUGGUACGCGAGCUGGGUUUAGAACGUCGUGAGACAGUUCGGUCCCUAUCUGCCGUGGGCGCUGGAGAAUUGAGGGGGGCUGCUCCUAGUACGAGAGGACCGGAGUGGACGCAUCACUGGUGUUCGGGUUGUCAUGCCAAUGGCACUGCCCGGUAGCUAAAUGCGGAAGAGAUAAGUGCUGAAAGCAUCUAAGCACGAAACUUGCCCCGAGAUGAGUUCUCCCUGACUCCUUGAGAGUCCUGAAGGAACGUUGAAGACGACGACGUUGAUAGGCCGGGUGUGUAAGCGCAGCGAUGCGUUGAGCUAACCGGUACUAAUGAACCGUGAGGCUUAACCUU
rnacentral:rRNA from 1 species